rnacentral:ncRNA from 1 species
UUGAGCCGUAUGUUUUGAAAGAGACUUGUACGGUUCUUAGGGAGGAAGGAAGCCGAAAGGUUUCUGACCUACCCGAC